UACAGAGGGUGCGAGCGUUGUUCGGAAUUAUUGGGCGUAAAGCGCGUGUAGGCGGCAGUGCAAGUCGGGUGUGAAAGCCCUCAGCUCAACUGAGGAAGUGCGCCCGAAACUGCAUUGCUUGAGUACCGGAGAGGAUGGCGGAAUUCCCGAAGUAGAGGUGAAAUUCGUAGAUAUCGGGAGGAACACCGGUGGCGAAGGCGGCCAUCUGGACGGAUACUGACGCUGAGACGCGAAAGCGUGGGUAGCAAACAGG
rnacentral:rRNA from 1 species